rnacentral:rRNA from 1 species
UAUGGCGAAUGAACAGGCAAAAGCUCAGAUUUGAAACCCUCGGGAUUGUAAUCUGGAGACCUGGAUUUGGCACGCUGACCAAGUCUUCUGGAACGGAGCGCCAUGGAGGGUGACAGCCCCGUAGCAGCAGCCACUGUAAAUCCGGGUCGACGAGUCGAGUUGUUUGGGAAUGCAGCUCUAAGUGGGUGGUAUGCUCCAUCUAAAGCUAAAUAUUGGCGAGAGACCGAUAGCGAACAAGUACUGUGAAGGAAAGAUGAAAAGAACUUUGAAAAGAGAGUGAAAAAGUACGUGAAAUUGUUGAAAUGGAAGGCAAUGAGGUGCGAUUGAACCGGACGUUUGCGGGCAGGACAAAAGCGCAGGCCGCCUCGGCAUUGCCUGCGUGCAUACUGCCUCGCGGACUACCAGUUCUAACAACGCCUUAUUGCACCCGUCUUGA